GUCACCACCAUAUAAAAGGGACAUGAUUUUCUAUUGCAUUCAGAGUUACUUCGCAGUUAGUCAUUGCGCGCUUUUGAGUUAUAUUCUUGAAGAAGUGGAUUACAAUUAAAGGUGAGAAAAUGAUGAAAUUAUUUUGGGCCCUUCUCAUUUUAAUGCUGUCCGCCUAUCAGGCCACCGAGGGAUUUUUCUUCACUCUCCCGUUCUUGUGCCAGAACAAUACCGCCCGAUUCUUCAUUAAGCCAUGGCUUUGUCAGCUAUUCAACAGAACUUCACUUGAACCAACCGAUUUUCUGUCGGAAAUUGAGCCACCCACUUUAUAAAUGAAGCUUGGAAAUAUGGAUUGUACAAUCGAAUGAAAAUAAAAUGUAGUUCUGCAAA